rnacentral:rRNA from 1 species
UACGGGGGGGGGCAAGCGUUGUUCGGAAUUACUGGGCGUAAAGGGCUCGUAGGUGGCCAACUAAGUCAGACGUGAAAUCCCUCGGCUUAACCGGGGAACUGCGUCUGAUACUGGAUGGCUUGAGUUCGGGGAGAGGGAUGCGGAAUUCCAGGUGUAGCGGUGAAAUGCGUAGAUAUCUGGAGGAACACCGGUGGCGAAGGCGGCAUCCUGGACCGACACUGACACUG